AGCUUUGCACAGUAGCGGUGUCAUAGCCAGUGGGGUUUAGCUAAGGCACGAUCGUUGCUAAUUGAAAACUUUUCCCAAAAGCUCUUUUCAAAAAUUCAUUCCCAAAUACCUGUUU
rfam:Fukomys damarensis contig119799, whole genome shotgun sequence.